UACGUAGGGUGCAGGCGUUAAUCGGAAUUACUGGGCGUAAAGGGCUCGUAGGCGGCCUUCUAAGUCGAACGUGAAAUCCCCGGGCUCAACCCGGGAACUGCGUCCGAUACUGGAAGGCUUGAAUCCGGGAGAGGGAUGUGGAAUUCCAGGUGUAGCGGUGAAAUGCGUAGAUAUCUGGAGGAACACCGGUGGCGAAGGCGACAUCCUGGACCGGUAUUGACGCUGAGGCGCGAAAGCCAGGGGAGCAAACGGG
rnacentral:rRNA from 1 species